rfam:Lactobacillus ozensis DSM 23829 = JCM 17196 strain DSM 23829 NODE_123, whole genome shotgun sequence.
AAAAUGGCUCUUAUAAGAGCCAUUUUUUUAUUGAAUUGACUUUAAU